AGGAUCACCAGGCAGAAGGUGGUGAGAAGACUCAGGACAGGACAGCGCACAAAUCACACACCCUAGCCUCGGAAGAUGGGGAACUGCCUCAGAUCCCCCACUUCGGAUGACAUCUCUCUGAUCCACGAGUCUCAGUCCGACCGGGUUAGUUUCGGCGAAGGGACGGAGCCGGACCAGGAGCCGCCGCCUCCAUAUCAGGAACAAGUUCCAGUUCCGGUCUAUCAUCCAACACCUAGCCAGACUCGCCUAGCAACUCAGCUGACUGAAGAGGAACAAAUUAGGAUAGCUCAAAGAAUAGGCCUUAUACAACAUCUGCCUAAAGGAGUUUAUGACCCUGGAAGAGAUGGAUCAGAAAAAAAGAUCCGGGAGUGUGUGAUCUGUAUGACGGACUUUGUUUAUGGGGACCCAAUUCGAUUUCUGCCGUGCAUGCACAUCUGUCACCUGGACUGUAUAGAUGACUGGUUGAUGAGAUCCUUCACAUGCCCCUCCUGCAUGGAGCCAGUUGAUGCAGCACUGCUUUCGUCCUAUGAGACUAAUUGAGCCAGGAUCUCUCAUCUGACUUCAAGUGAACCUUCAUUUUUUGGUGGUUUUGAUCUUUUGUCACUGAGCCCAAAGAGCCAGGGAUUAGGAAUUAAGAUCAUGCACAAAUGUUUCCUAAAAAUUCCUGAAUGGCUGCAGAUGUUGGGGAAAAGUACGUCAUAUUUUAGAAACUUAGGGGGAAAAGUAGGAUGGUAUUUUUAUGUAAAGCCUUGACCCAGUGUUUAAAAAAAUAUAAUUGUAUUUAGAUCUUG